UUUCUCAAAGUAGCAAGAAAUGCAAAAGAUGAGAAGGAAAAAAAAGCAUGUUUCCUGCACAUAGUAUUAUUGGAUUUAGCUUUAAAUGUGAUUCAACACAUAUUCCUGAAUAUGGAGAAUUAUUAUCAACAUGAACACUGGAUCUCACAUGAUUUGUUUCCAUGAGAUAUAAAGAAAUGUGUUGAAUAUUCAGCUUCAGACUGAUUUGCAUAUUUCUCAGCCUGGCUACUGUUACUGAGUUCUGUCUAAAGGAGAAGUGGUGAAUCUCUAAUAUGAGCUAAAUUGUGUCGUUUUCACACACAGUUCUCCCUCCGUUCAGUGUAGAAGCGUCAGCUUGAGCUCUGUCUUCAACUCUCUUCUCUGGUGAAUGUAAAUGAUGGAAACAUUGGUGACGUUCCUCCUCACUGGAUCUCUGAUACAAGGUGUUUUGUGUGGCGCUAAAAUCAAUCUGCCGAAUAAAGUAGAAGCUCUGAACGGAUCCUGUGUUUUCAUCCCCUGCACAUUUGAUAUUGAUCAACAAUAUGAAGCUGACCUCACUGACAGUGCAAAGAGAGUGUGGUAUAAAGACAGAAACCUUCACGUUAUAGUGUUUAACUCCAGCAGCCCCAACACUGGACGGUUAAAAGGAGAAAUAUUUGGCACAGCUACACAGAAAAACUGCACCACACGCUUCGAUAAUGUUGAUCAGACUCAUAAUGGGUCGUAUUACUUCAGAAUCGAAACCAGUGGUAAAUUGAAACAUAGCUACAGAGGACCUACAUACUCUGAAGUUGAAAUUGUCGU